CAGAUAUCAAGCUUAAGGAAGUCAGCUACAUAUACUUUUUGAUGGCAGAUAGCUGAUUAGUUUACAACUAUCCAUGUGAAGUGGAGUGGUACUAGGUAUCUUGAUAUGCCACUAAUUUUGAGAUACCACGCUUAAGGAAGUCAACUACUUAUACCUUUUGAUUGCAGAUAUCACUCUUAAGGAAGUCAGCUACUUAUACCUUUUGAUGGCAGGAACGGCGCUUACAUGUACGAGAGCUGAAUAACAGAACUAUCACGAAAAGAAAACGAACAAGAAAUGUUUUAGAAACAUACAGUAUACAUGAACCAAUAAAUAUAUUAUAUAUUUUAUGUAUUAUUUAUAUUUGUAUCAAUGUUGGUAGAAUUUCGUGAGAUCAAUAAUUUUCCAUAUCAUUGGUUUGCUUGUUUGAUUUGAACGUAUUUUAUUGCAGUGGCGGAUUUAGAGGGGGGCGCAGCCGCCCCCCCCCCCCCCAAUUUUCAAAUUUAAGGUAAAUCACGGUAUCUUGUUUCGGAAAAUGUACUAAACGAUAAAAGAAAUAAUUUCUUUCACUCCCGGAGAAAUAAAUGACAAAAUCUUUUGAUUUCUUUAAUUACUUUAUUGGGAGAACUUAAUUUUUUCCAAAAAACCCUUAAAAUUUGGGUCAUUUUAUUAUUUUCACCUUAUUAAAAUGAUAGAAAAUAGUACAAAUGACUAAAAUAGGAGAAAUAUUUCAAGCCCCAUAAAAUCUGUAAAAUCCAGUAGCUUCCGGGGGCUUCGCCCCAUGGACCCCCACCAGGGCUUCGUCCUGGACCCACUGCCUCAUAAAGUGGCGCCCCCCGUAACCGCAAAUUUCUGGAUCCGCCCCUGUAUUGUGUACGACUUACGAGUUCUUCUCCUUAUAAUCUAAUACAUAUUACAACACACAAUUGUCAUUAAAGAUAAUAUAUACAGAGAAUACAUAAAUGGUAAGUGUUCUAUAGAUAAACAAUGGAAAAUGACAUGAUCAACAGCCAAAUCUUUUGGUUUCAUGAAUAUACGUCUGAACAUUAGAGAAAAUACAAUUAUUCAAUUCCGUAAAUAGGACACUAUCACCCCAAAAGUAAAAGAUUUGUAUCAAUAAUAAUCAAAACAUUAAAUCUUAGCAAUCUAUCCAUUAAUUUGUAUCUAGCGAUAACAUAUUUCUUACAAAUAAAGAAAAAGUGAUGUGCGUCUUCACGCAUGCCACAGGAACAUAAUGGAGAAUCAACAAUAUUGCGUCUAUAAAGAUCAUAAUUCAAAACACAGGUGUGUCUCAGUUUGGUAUGAAUUAUAUUCAACAGACGAGAAAAAUAUGAAAAGUAUACAUGGGGUUUGGGAUUUCUGAAUUAGGACGGACACCUCUACAUGUGCUAAGAAAGUAUAGAAUAUUGAAAUAUUGGUUAAAACUGAAGACAAAUAAUUGUAUUUUAAAGAGUAUUUAUCAGGAAAUGUUAGAUGUUUGUGACUCAAAUUCUUAUACUUGUUGGUUGACAUAUGUAAGAAAUUUAUUAUAUUCUUUAGGAUUUGGAUAUGUAUGGAAUUGUACUUAUGAUAUAAAUGAAAACAAAUUUUUAUCUGAAGUAAAACAAAGACUACAAGAUGUGUUUAUACAAGAAAUUUAUAGUGUUUUUGAGACGUCACCAAAAUGUAACUUAUAUAAAUAUGUCAAUGAAGGAUUUAAAUUACAAUUGUAUCUUACAAAAUCUGUUCCAAGUAUGUAUGUUCAAAAUAUUAGUAAAUACUGACUAUCCUCACAUAGAUUAGAAAUUGAACAAGGUCAGGGUUUGACAUUUAUAUUUUUGAGCACUAGACCAGUCGGGCUACUUCAAAUGAUUUUUACUAGACCUGACUUUAUAUCCACUAGCCCUGACCAACUUUCCAGAAAAAAACUUAUAGUUUCUCCAUAUUUUAAUACUCCAUGGAAAUGACAAACGUUAAGUUUGAACCAAAACGUAUUAAAUUGUCUCAAAAAUACCUCAGGUCUCGUCAUUCAAUUUGAUUUUCAAAUACGUUUUCUGUUUCUUUAAAUUCUACCUGGCACGGAUAUUCUUUAGUCUAUUCAGUAUAAAAUGACCUCAACCGGCUUUUUCUUUAAUUUAUAUUUCAUAAGCUCUGCUAAGCUUUGUUUCUUUCCAACCUUGUCGUAUUUAAAUAUAGAGACAUUCCCGCACAUAUGUCAACACCGAUAAAUAGCUGUUUACGAUGUAGUUUAUUAACUUGAUAAACACUUUUAUUAUAGUCAAUUCAAAUAAACUGUUUAAAAUGAACAUCGAGUAGAUGUCGUAAAACAUCACUUCCGACCGCGACUUAUUUAUUAGAACUAAAAAUAGAGAUUAUCCCAUCACACGGUUCAAGAUUGCUUGCAAACUCUUUACAGUUAAAAAUGAAAUAUCUUACGGUUUAAAGUAAAGUUCCUUGUUUAUUUUUUUAACACGACCAGUCGGACUAGUAAAUCGACAUUUUACCUGACCGGACCGAUCAUCUAGUAGACUCGGUCGGUCGGACGUGCCUUAGUGUCAAACCCUGAAGGUAGAUUUAGCAAUAUUCCAAGAAAAGAAAGAAAAUGUAAAUAAUGUUCAGAGAGUAUUGAAGAUGAAUAUCAUUUUAUAUUAGUAUGUCCUUUUUAUAAUGAUUGUAGAAAACAGUAUUUAAAGAAAUAUUAUUAUAAACACCCCUCCACUUUCAAGCUUAUCCAACUAUUAUCAACUGGAAAUAUUACGGAAUUAUGUAAACUUGGUAAAUACCUAUAUAAAUGUUCAUCUUAUAGAUCUCAGUUAUUAUAAGAUUAUCCUCAGUAUCUAUCCUGUCCAUGUACAUCAGUAUGAUAUAUUAUGUUUUGUUAUCAUUUCAUUGUAUAAGUUGUUGUAUAUACUUUAUACCUAUGACCUGUAUGGUUCUUGAUCAAUAAACAAUACAAUACAAUACGAGUUAACGCUUUUACGAAACUGUUUAAUUGGUUUGCUUACAAGAUACAACCACAAAAAAAACAAACAAAAAAAAACCACGUGCUCA